GGAAGGGUGGCCGAGCGGCUGAAGGCGCACGCUUGGAAAGCGUGUUUACUCAAAAGGUAACAAGGGUUCGAAUCCCUUUCCUUCCGCCA
rnacentral:tRNA from 1 species